GGCGCCAUCGUAUAGUGGUUAGUACACAGGAUUCUGAUUCCUGUAACCCAGGUUCGAGCCCUGGUGGCGCCU
rnacentral:tRNA from 1 species